AUUGGGCAUUUAUAAUUGAAACUAGCAAACGACGUCGCAUGUGGUGAGUCGAGUCACUCCCCUAAAACCCUUAACAUCCACCGCGCCGCUGCCGCCAAAUCGCCGGUGGUACGAAUCCACAUGGAGAAGGAGGGUGAGAAGAAGAGUGAGGUAUACGAGAGCUACGUGGUUGUUCACAAUAUAGCGAAGCGGCACAACGUCGGGACGCUCGCCCGCAGCGCUACCGCUUUCGGGGUGGCGGAGAUGAUUUUGGUCGGCCGCCGCGACUUCAACGCCUUCGGCAGCCACGGCUCCACCUCGCACAUGCGUUUCCGACAUUUUCACACCCUCUCUCUUGCCCGUACCUAUCUCAAGGAGAGGGACUGUGACAUAUGUGGAGUGGAGAUCACAGAUAACGCCGUGCCAGUUAACGCCCAUCCUUUCAGGAAGAGCACUGCUUUUCUCGUGGGCAACGAGGGAACAGGGCUUUCUCCAAAGGAGUGUGAGAUGUGCGACUUCUUCGUUUACAUUCCACAAUAUGGUGGUGGCACUGCUUCUCUAAAUGUAACUGUAGCUGCUUCCAUUGUCCUACAACAUUUUGCAGUUUGGGCAGGAUUCUCUGAAAGAACUCGUGAAGGGAACAAGUUUAUUGUUGCCGAUAAACCUGCUUUGACAGGAAGGAAAUUCUGUGCAGAAACAGCAGAAUCCAUAGCAGAGGAACGGAAACUGAAGAAGGAAAGCGCUGCAAAUGGCUUCUUUUCUGAGAGUGGGAGCAAUGAAAAUCCUUCCAACCUUUUGGAUUCGUUGUUUGACUCAUAACGAAAGGGACUUCCCAGUUUUAAGGUCCUUUCGACAUCUACCUGCUCUAGAUUGCACUCUUUUUCAUAAAAGAGGUUGAAUCUGACUUGGUAUGCAAUUCACAGACACCAGAAGCCGUUGAAAGAAUGAAUACAUUUAUAUGUAUCUGAUAUUAGUAAAAGUUCAAGGUGUAAGAGGUGAAGAUCAAGAAAUUUGAUCAGUUUUCCCUAACACAGGGCGAACAGAUUCAGAAAGGGCAAGAAAGAAGAACAUAGGAAUGAAGGAUGAAUUGGACGAAAAAGUUGGCAAAGUGUCUGCUGGCUACCCGAGUGCUGCAGUUGAGAUAGACUCCUGCCCUUGGGAUCCAAAGGAGGCAAAUAUGUCAUGUUAUAUCUUGAAAAAUUCCCCUAAGAAAGCCAAGCCGAAAUUAUAAAAGAAGCCGUAUAGACAGUGAGGGGGUUGGCCAUUCUCUUACCAGCACCAUCGUUCCAGCGAUUUCACCCGGAACUUGUUCCAGCUUUAUUUCCCCAGCCCUACUAGGAGUAAAAUAAUCCAUCAAGGUUUAACCAUCGUUCCACCCAUCACAUUUUGUAUCACACCGUGGUGUUCCUUAAACAAUUUAUAUAUAUUAGCGUUUAGGAUGCUAUGUUUAAGUCCUAACUUUGUUAAGCAACUCUUGCUGCACUCUGUGCGUAGUUAAUUUGUUGUGGUAAUAUCUUGUUUUGCUACUA